CCCACCUCCUGGCUUCAAAGCUCAGGCACCAAUGGCAAUGGCGGUCCUCCCUCUCUUCUUUGCCUUGAUGUUCAAGCCACGCCUUUGACCCCCACUCCCCUCCGUCUCCGAAUCUCCCCCGAUCGCCGCGAUUUCGAGGGAUUUCCCUUCUCGCAUGGGCGGGUUCAGCUGGUUGCGAUCGUGCCGGCGGCGGUUGCUGUCUUCGGUUACGGGCCGGACGAAUUCGAUUGGGAGUAGCUUGGUUUCGGAUUCGCGGAGGGCGGCGUUCUUGCUCGCCCGAACUGAAGCUUUUCGUCCAUCAGCUUCGUACGGUUGCGGUUUUCUUACUGGGAAUCCUAUCGAUCGAGAGACCUUGAGGUCGCCAUGGAGGUAUCGGCGUCUUCACGCGACGGGUUCUUGUCGCCACCCUGAAAGAAGCUAUUAUGACAUUCUGGGUGUUUCGGAGAAUGCCAGCCGAGAUGAGAUUAAGAAGGCUUUUCGUGCGCUUGCAAAGAAGUACCAUCCUGAUGCAAAUAAGAAUAAUCCUUCUGCGAAGAGGAAAUUUCAAGAGAUAAGAAAUGCUUAUGAGACUUUGCAAAGUUCCGAAAAAAGAGCAGAGUAUGACAGGAAACGCUCUAGAAGUUCAGUAAAUGUUGAAUAUGGUGAAGGAGAUGCUGAGGGGUUUACACAUGAAUACGGGAGGCAUUUCUCUAGUUCCUUCCACAAGAUCUUUUCUGAGAUUUUUGAGGACAAGACAGAUCAAUUUGCAUCUGAUGUUCAGGUGGAACUGAUACUUUCUUUCCUCGAAGCUGCGGAAGGGUGCACAAAAGAGCUGUCCUUUGAAGCAUAUGUUCCUUGUGAUUCUUGUGAUGGGCGUGGCUAUCCACCUGGUGUCACGGUGAGAGUGUGUCCAACUUGCAGAGGCAUUGGGAGGGUCACAAUUCCCCCAUUUACAGCAACAUGCACUACCUGUAACGGCUCGGGCAGAGUUGUCAAGGACCAAUGCAUUCCGUGUGGAGGAUCAGGAGUUGUUGAAGGCACUAAGGAAGUUAAAGUUACAAUUCCAGCAGGUGUGGAUUCGGGAGAUACAAUUCGUGUGCCAGAAGCUGGUAAUGCUGGAGCACGGAGGAGUCAACCUGGCAACUUAUUCAUCAAAUUAAAGGUGGCUGAAGAUCGUACCUUUACCAGAGAUGGUGCAGAUGUAUAUGUGGUCUCAGAAAUUAGCUUCACACAAGCAAUUCUUGGUGGUAAAGUUGAGGUCCCAACUUUAUCGGGGAAAGUACAAGUUAAUAUACCAAAGGGGGUACAGCCUGGACAUCUUGUGGUUCUAAGAGGAAAAGGACUACCAAAACAUGGUUUUCUUGUCAGUCAUGGGGAUCAAUUUGUGAGAUUUCGGGUUAAAUUCCCCAGCGAGAUAAAUGAACGACAACGUGUAAUUUUAGAAGAAUUUGCUAAAGAGGAGAUCAAUAGUGAAAACAAUACGUCUCAAGAGGGAAAUUGUGGGGAUGAUGGCAGCCUUGAGUGAGAGCUACAUUUUGACUUCCCUUGCACUUGCCUUUGGGACACCUCUGAAUUAAUAGGUUGAUGCAACUACCAAGAAUGUGAAUCACAUGAGAUGAUUUGCAUUCUGUUCCUGAAAUUGGUGGGAGUGUGCAGGUGGGCACAAUUUCUCAAACGCGCAGCGAGUCCUAAGUUCAUGCUCGAAAUGUCUCUGCUCCUGUUGAUCCUCAUGCUUCUGAAGAAAGUGAUGGCUUGAGCACAUGCCUCAAAUUUGCAGUGACUGGAUCAGAUGAUAGCUCUGAUUGAGACUGGUUGUGCUGGAGGAUUCUCCCCAGAUUAUAAUUUUAGGUCAAGUUAUUUCGAUAGAAGGCAUCAUAUUUUUUUGGGAGGUGAUCACAGUUGCUCAAUUACAAGUUCAUCAAAGCCAUUCUUUUGCCCCCACAGCUCACCAUUUUUAAAGGUAUAUACACCUUUUUGUUCUCUAGAAGUAAUGUACACAAAUUACAUUAUCUUAAUAAAGUUUCAAAUCCUUCACCUC